rnacentral:tRNA from 1 species
CGGAUAUAGUUUAGUGGUAAAACCUCAGCUUCCCAAGCUGAUGCUGCGGGUUCGAUUCCCGUUAUCCG